rnacentral:rRNA from 1 species
UGGGGAAUAUUGCACAAUGGAGGGAACUCUGAUGCAGCGACGCCGCGUGAACGAAGAAGGCUCUCGAGUCGUAAAGUUCUUUUAUAUGGGAAGAUAAUGACGGUACCAUAAGAAAAAGCCCCGGCUAACUACGUGCCAGCAGCCGCGGUAAUACGUAGGGGGCUAGCGUUGUCCGGAAUCACUGGGCGUAAAGGGUUCGCAGGCGGAAGUGCAAGUCAGGUGUAAAAGGCAGUAGCUUAACUACUGUAAGCAUUUGAAACUGCAUAUCUUGAGAAGAGUAGAGGUAAGUGGAAUUUUUAGUGUAGCGGUGAAAUGCGUAGAUAUUAAAAAGAAUACCGGUGGCGAAGGCGACUUACUGGGCUCAUUCUGACGCUGAGGAACGAAAGCGUGGGUAGCAAACAGG